GGUCAAGUGAAGAAGCGCAUACGGUGGAUGCCUUGGCAGUCAGAGGCGAUGAAAGACGUGGUAGCCUGCGAAAAGCUUCGGGGAGUCGGCAAACAGACUUUGAUCCGGAGAUCUCUGAAUGGGGGAACCCACCUAGGAUAACCUAGGUAUCUUGUACUGAAUCCAUAGGUGCAAGAGGCGAACCAGGGGAACUGAAACAUCUAAGUACCCUGAGGAAAAGAAAUCAACCGAGAUUCCCUUAGUAGUGGCGAGCGAACGGGGAUUAGCCCUUAAGCUUCAUUGAUUUUAGCGGAACGCUCUGGAAAGUGCGGCCAUAGUGGGUGAUAGCCCCGUACGCGAAAGGAUCUUUGAAGUGAAAUCGAGUAGGACGGAGCACGAGAAACUUUGUCUGAACAU
rnacentral:rRNA from 1 species